UACGAGGGGGGCAAGCGUUGUUCGGAAUUACUGGGCGUAAAGCGCACGUAGGCGGCUUUGUAAGUUAGAGGUGAAAGCCCGGGGCUCAACCCCGGAAUUGCCUUUGAGACUGCAUCGCUAGAAUUGUGGAGAGGUAAGUGGAAUUCCGAGUGUAGAGGUGAAAUUCGUAGAUAUUCGGAAGAACACCAGUGGCGAAGGCGACUUACUGGACACAUAUUGACGCUGAGGUGCGAAAGCGUGGGGAGCAAACAGG
rnacentral:rRNA from 1 species